UUAAACGGGGUCUCUUUUUUUUUCAUCUCUACCUGAUGGGAAAUCGAAAAGUUGCUUUUUUAUUAGUUUCACAUUUUACCUAGCCGACAGUUACCGAUCGAGUGAUUCCGGACUAGAUCUGACGGCAAGGCUUAUAAGGCAAGAGACAAGACCACAUCACAACAACGUGACGGAAACGGGCGGGUAAGGAAGUUGCUGGAGUUGAGUCUUCUUGCCGUUUAGGCGUCAGUGCUUGGGUUUUGGCUUAGUUGUUAGAGGAGGUUCUUCCUGUUGAAGGUGCGAAUGAGAUUUGACAACGGAUUGUUCAAGUCGUGAGUGGUAGCCAUGGCGGUGGAUGGAAGGGUCGACGGAGAAGACGAUAACGGCUGCGGCGCGACUUUGUGCGUAUCAGAUCUCGUUGGAUGUCUUAGAAGACACUCAGCGUCAAAAGCGAAGUUGCCAAAGCUCAGAUUUGGGAUACUGCUGGUCAAGAGAGAUAUUGAGCAAUCUCAAAGAGAUGUAGGUGUUUUACUUGUGUACGAAGUGAAAAGGCACUCAAUGUAGAAUGCAGCGACGAUGGCUAAGGGAACAAAGGGGACAAGCUGUGUAUUUUUUUGCUAAAGGCUAAUAAAAUAGUUAGCUACAUUUGACUCAUGUGUACAACAAAAAAAACAGUAUACAUGUGUACAACAAAAAACAAUAUCUAUGUGUACAACAAAAGAGGAUAUCCAUGUGUACACACUUCUUUCAUGUACAUGUUUUGAUGAGACCACUUGUACAUCCAUUGAUUUUUUUUUUU